AGAGUUUGAUCCUGGCUCAGAUUGAACGCUGGCGGUAUGCUUAACACAUGCAAGUCGAACGAGAACGGAACUAGCUUGCUAGUUUGUCAGCUAAGUGGCGCACGGGUGAGUAAUAUAUAGUUAAUCUGCCCCAAAGAAGAGAAUAAUUGUUGGAAACGACUUGUAAAACUCUAUAUGCCUUUAUUACACAAGUAAGCAAGGGAAACAUUUAUGGCUUUGGGAUGAGACUGUACAGUAUCAGAUUGUUGGUGGGGUAAUGGCCUACCACGUCUAUGACGCUUAACUGGUUUGAGAGGAUGAUCAGUCACACUGGAACUGAGACACGGCCCAGACUCCUACGGGAGGCAGCAGUGGGGAAUAUUGCACAAUGGAGGAAACUCUGAUGCAGCAACGCCGCGUGGAGGAUGACACAUUUCGGUGCGUAAACUCCUUUUAUAUGAGAAGAUAAUGACGGUAUCAUAUGAAUAAGCACCGGCUAACUUCGUGCCAGCAGCCGCGGUAAUACGAGGGGUGCAAGCGUUACUCGGAAUCACUGGGCGUAAAGAGCAUGUAGGCGGUUAUUUAAGUUGGAAGUGAAAUCCUAUGGCUCAACCAUAGAACUGCUUCCAAAACUGAAUAACUAGAGUAUGGGAGAGGUAGAUGGAAUUUCUGAUGUAGGGGUAAACUCCGGAGAGAUCAGAAGGAAUACCGAUUGCGAAGGCGAUCUACUGGAACAUUACUGACGCUAAGAUGCGACAGCGUGGGGAGCAAACAGGAUUAGAUACCCUGGUAGUCCACGCCCUAAACGAUGUACACUAGUUGUUGCUAUGCUAGACAUAGCAGUAAUGCAGUUAACACAGUAAGUGUACCGCCUGGGGAGUACGGUCGCAAGAUUAAAACUCAAAGGAAUAGACGGGGACCCGCACAAGCGGUGGAGCAUGUGGUUUAAUUCGAUGCAACGCGAAGAACCUUACCUGCCCUUGACAUUGACAGAACCCUGGAGAGAUCCGGGGGUGCCUUCGGGCCUGGAAAACAGGUGCUGCAUGGCUGUCGUCAGCUCGUGUCGUGAGAUGUUGGGAUAAGUCCCGCAACGAGCGCAACCCUUGUCCUUAGUUGCCAUCAUUUAGUUGGGCACUCUAGGGAGACUGCCGGUGACAAACCGGAGGAAGGUGGGGAUGACGUCAAGUCAUCAUGGCCCUUACGGCCAGGGCUACACACGUGCUACAAUGGGGUAUACAAAGAGCCGCAAUACCGCGAGGUGGAGCAAAUCUUAAAAAUAUCUCCCAGUUCGGAUAGCAGUCUGCAACUCGACUGCUUGAAGUUGGAAUCGCUAGUAAUCGUGAAUCAGCAAUGUCACGGUGAAUACGUUCCCGGGUCUUGUACUCACCGCCCGUCACACCAUGGGAGUUGAUUUCAUUCGAAGCGGGGAUGCUAAAAUAGCUACCCUCCACAGUGGAAUUAGUAACUAGGGUGAAGUCGUAACAAGGUAACC
rnacentral:rRNA from 1 species